UAGGGAAUCUUGCGCAAUGGGCGAAAGCCUGACGCAGCAACGCCGCGUGGGGGAUGAAGGCCCUCGGGUUGUAAACUCCUUUCAGUGGGAACGAAAUUGACGGUACCCACAGAAGAAGCCCCGGCUAACUACGUGCCAGCAGCCGCGGUGAUACGUAGGGGGCGAGCGUUGUCCGGAUUUACUGGGCGUAAAGAGCUCGUAGGCGGCUUGAUAAGUCGGGUGUGAAACCCCCAGGCUCAACCUGGGAUCGCCACUCGAUACUGUCAUGGCUAGAGUCCGGUAGGGGACCAUGGAAUUCCUGGUGUAGCGGUGAAAUGCGCAGAUAUCAGGAGGAACACCAGUAGCGAAGGCGGUGGUCUGGGCCGGUACUGACGCUGAGGAGCGAAAGCGUGGGGAGCGAACAGG
rnacentral:rRNA from 1 species